UUUUGGACAAUGGGGGCAACCCUGAUCCAGCCAUGCCGCGUGAGUGAAGAAGGCCUUCGGGUUGUAAAGCUCUUUCGGACGGAACGAAAUGGGCGGGACUAAUACUCCUGUCUGAUGACGGUACCGUAAGAAGAAGCACCGGCUAACUACGUGCCAGCAGCCGCGGUAAUACGUAGGGUGCGAGCGUUAAUCGGAAUUACUGGGCGUAAAGCGUGCGCAGGCGGUUUCGUAAGCUGGAGGUGAAAUCCCCGGGCUUAACCUGGGAAUGGCCUUCAGGACUGCGAGGCUAGAGUGCGGCAGAGGGAGGUGGAAUUCCACGUGUAGCAGUGAAAUGCGUAGAGAUGUGGAGGAACACCGAUGGCGAAGGCAGCCUCCUGGGCCAGCACUGACGCUCAUGCAGAAA
rnacentral:rRNA from 1 species